AGUGAACGCUGGCGGUAGGCCUAACACAUGCAAGUCGAACGGCAGCACAGUAAGAGCUUGCUCUUACGGGUGGCGAGUGGCGGACGGGUGAGGAAUACAUCGGAAUCUACUUUUUCGUGGGGGAUAACGUAGGGAAACUUACGCUACUACCGCAUACGACCUACGGCUGAAAGCAGGGGAUCAUCGGACCUUGCGCGAUUGAAUGAGCCGAUGUCGGAUUAGCUAGUUGGCGGGGUAAAGGCCCACCAAGGCGACGAUCCGUAGCUGGUCUGAGAGGAUGAUCAGCCACACUGGAACUGAGACACGGUCCAGACUCCUACGGGAGGCAGCAGUGGGGAAUAUUGGACAAUGGGCGCAAGCCUGAUGCAGCCAUACCGCGUGGGUGAAGAAGGCCUUCGGGUUGUAAAGCCCUUUUGUUGGGAAAGAAAAGCAGCAGGUUAAUACCCCGCUGUUCUGACGGUACCCAAAGAAUAAGCACCGGCUAACUUCGUG
rnacentral:rRNA from 1 species